ACCUAAAUAGCUCAGUUGAAAGAGUGUAUGGCUAUAGAUUGAAAGGUCCCUGGUUAGAUUCCGGGAUUCGGCA
rnacentral:tRNA from 1 species